UCACUGCUGACGAGUCCCAAAUAGGGCGAAACGCACGUCAAACUGUAU
rnacentral:hammerhead_ribozyme from 1 species